GAGCCACAACAGGAACUCCUAGAAUCAUAUUUUAAAGAUAUCAGACAGAGAAGAUUAGCAUGGCUCCUGCACAAGGAUGACAUGCAAAUUAGUGAAGUGUUCCAUAUUUUU
rnacentral:snRNA from 1 species